CAUGCAAGUAGACGCACAGGAUGCACCGUAGUUUACUACACCGUAUUCUGUGAGUUGCGAACGGGUGAGUAACGCGUAGGUAACCUGCCUGGUAGCGGGGGAUAACUAUUGGAAACGAUAGCUAAUACCGCAUAAGAACAUUUACUGCAUGGUAGAUGUUUAAAAGGUGCAAAUGCAUCACUACCAGAUGGACCUGCGUUGUAUUAGCUAGUAGGUGAGGUAACGGCUCACCUAGGCGACGAUACAUAGCCGACCUGAGAGGGUGAUCGGCCACACUGGGACUGAGACACGGCCCAGACUCCUACGGGAGGCAGCAGUAGGGAAUCUUCGGCAAUGGGGGGAACCCUGACCGAGCAACGCCGCGUGAGUGAAGAAGGUUUUCGGAUCGUAAAGCUCUGUUGUUAAGGAAGAACGAGUGUGAGAAUGGAAAGUUCAUACUGUGACGGUACUUAACCAGAAAGGGACGG
rnacentral:rRNA from 1 species